UUAGACAUGGUGUGGUGGGAACACAGCCUCUUCUCGUGGAAGAUCAUAGUUAUGGUUUCCGAGGCAGUCCAGGGUUCGAACCCCUGUGUCUGAA